ACGAACGCUGGCGGCGUGCUUAACACAUGCAAGUCGAACGGAAAGGCCCUGCUUUUGUGGGGUGCUCGAGCGGCGAACGGGUGAGUAACACGUGAGUAACCUGCCCUUGACUUUGGGAUAACUUCAGGAAACUGGGGCUAAUACCGGAUAGGAGCUCCUGCUGCAUGGUGGGGGUUGGAAAGUUUCGGCGGUUGGGGAUGGACUCGCGGCUUAUCAGCUUGUUGGUGGGGUAGUGGCUUACCAAGGCUUUGACGGGUAGCCGGCCUGAGAGGGUGACCGGCCACAUUGGGACUGAGAUACGGCCCAGACUCCUACGGGAGGCAGCAGUGGGGAAUAUUGCACAAUGGGCGGAAGCCUGAUGCAGCAACGCCGCGUGCGGGAUGACGGCCUUCGGGUUGUAAACCGCUUUCGCCUGUGACGAAGCGUGAGUGACGGUAAUGGGUAAAGAAGCACCGGCUAACUACGUGCCAGCAGCCGCGGUGAUACGUAGGGUGCGAGCGUUGUCCGGAUUUAUUGGGCGUAAAGGGCUCGUAGGUGGUUGAUCGCGUCGGAAGUGUAAUCUUGGGGCUUAACCCUGAGCGUGCUUUCGAUACGGGUUGACUUGAGGAAGGUAGGGGAGAAUGGAAUUCCUGGUGGAGCGGUGGAAUGCGCAGAUAUCAGGAGGAACACCAGUGGCGAAGGCGGUUCUCUGGGCCUUUCCUGACGCUGAGGAGCGAAAGCGUGGGGAGCGAACAGGCUUAGAUACCCUGGUAGUCCACGCUGUAAACGGUGGGUACUAGGUGUGGGGUCCAUUCCACGGGUUCCGUGCCGUAGCUAACGCUUUAAGUACCCCGCCUGGGGAGUACGGCCGCAAGGCUAAAACUCAAAGGAAUUGACGGGGCCCCGCACAAGCGGCGGAGCAUGCGGAUUAAUUCGAUGCAACGCGUAGAACCUUACCUGGGUUUGACAUGGAUCGGGAGUGCUCAGAGAUGGGUGUGCCUCUUUUGGGGUCGGUUCACAGGUGGUGCAUGGCUGUCGUCAGCUCGUGUCGUGAGAUGUUGGGUUAAGUCCCGCAACGAGCGCAACCCUUGUUCACUGUUGCCAGCACGUUAUGGUGGGGACUCAGUGGAGACCGCCGGGGUCAACUCGGAGGAAGGUGGGGAUGACGUCAAGUCAUCAUGCCCCUUAUGUCCAGGGCUUCACGCAUGCUACAAUGGCUGGUACAGAGAGUGGCGAGCCUGUGAGGGUGAGCGAAUCUCGGAAAGCCGGUCUCAGUUCGGAUUGGGGUCUGCAACUCGACCUCAUGAAGUCGGAGUCGCUAGUAAUCGCAGAUCAGCAACGCUGCGGUGAAUACGUUCCCGGGGCUUGUACACACCGCCCGUCAAGUCAUGAAAGUUGGUAACACCCGAAGCCGGUGGCCUAACCGUUGUGGGGGAGCCGUCGAAGGUGGGACUGGU
rnacentral:rRNA from 1 species